GAGGUAAAUUUCUCCUAAGGCUAAAUAUUGGCGAGAGACCGAUAGCGAACAAGUACCGUGAGGGAAAGAUGAAAAGAACUUUGAAAAGAGAGUUAAACAGUACGUGAAAUUGUUGAAAGGGAAACGAUUGAAGUCAGUCAUACCAACGGGAAAUCAACCUUUUGAGCUCGGUCUCGUGGGUUUUGAAGAGUUUCAAAGCCUUCGGAUUCGCGAGAUUGGGAUCUCUUGGUGUACUUUUUCGUACGGUUAGUCAACAUCGGUUUUGAAUGUCAUAAAAUGACUGGAGGAAUGUAGCUUCGAUA
rnacentral:rRNA from 1 species